rnacentral:lncRNA from 1 species
CAGUCUGUACUGAUGGUGAGGAUUGUUCCGGCCCAGGUACGGAACCCUGCACUUGUUCUUGUUGAACCUCAUGAGGUUCACCCGGGCCCACCUCUCCAGCCUGUCCAGGUCCCUCUGGAUAACAUCCCAUCCCUCUGGUGUAUCGACAACACCACACAACUUGCUGAUGCACUCAGACUGGUCCCUGGUAUGGAAAUGCAGCCCCAGCUCAGUAUCACGAUGGCCGGAGCCCCGUCGCUGUGUGGGGCCCUGCUCUGCCUCCGCUUUGUCCUGCUCGGGCUCCUGAAUAAUGGACGGGCCGUAAGCAGAUCCGGCCGGGCUCUCCAGUUUCCCCAGGGGAGCCAUGGAGCCCUGGCCACCGCCCAGCCCUCUCCCUGCUGGGAUCAGGUGUCCGGGGCUGAGCCGGGGCAGGGUGAGGGCUGGGUGCUCCAGGAGGGCAGCUGGUACCUGCUGUGGGUCCCCCUGUGCCUUGUCCCACCGCUGGGUCCCCUUGUCUUGGGGCUUGUCCCACCCCAGUGCUCAGCUCCAGCCCCAGCUGGGGGGACUGGUUCUCUGUGCCUGCACAGUCGUGUGCCCACCACAAAACAGCCUCUGCACCUGAGGCUUCUCCACUUUAUUGCAAGAACAAGCAAAAAUAGAGUAUUUCAGUUGAAAGGGACAAAUAUGUGCCUUUUAGCCCCAUUUAAGCCAGCUCUCUAUUCCCCAGGCAAAAUUAUUAGUAAUAAUAAUGACGAUGAUGAUGAUGUUGAUGAUAACAAUUCUUCAGCAAUCAGAAAGGAUGAGCAUGCAGUUUGGGCCAGAGGCAGGGCUGUGAGCACCUCUGGGUGCCAGGGUUCUGGUUGUCCCCAGGGGCUGAGGCCGUGCCGUGGCCCCCGCAGGGGGGGACUGGUGGAGGGGGCCCUUUUCCAGCCCCCCCAGCUGGCACUUGGGAUUUGCCCCAUGGCACAAGGGGGUGAGGGGAUGGGCUGGCUCAGGCUGGGCUUGCGGGACUUGCUUGGGGGUCAAGA